AUUGCUUCUCAGUCUUUUGGCUAAGAUCAACUGUAGUAUCUGUUCUUAUCAGUUUAUUUAUUUAUUUUUUAAAAGAUUUUAUUUAUAUAUUCAUGAGAUUUUAUUUAUUCACGAGAGACACAGAGAGAGGCAGAGGGAGAAGCAGGCUCCCUGCGAGGAACCCAAU
rnacentral:snRNA from 2 species